GACCUCGUGCUUUAAGAUGAGCCUAUGUCGGAUUAGCUUGUUGGUGGGGUAAUGGCCUACCAAGGCGACGAUCCGUAGCUGGUCUGAGAGGACGAUCAGCCACACUGGGACUGAGACACGGCCCAGACUCCUACGGGAGGCAGCAGUGGGGAAUCUUGGACAAUGGGGGAAACCCUGAUCCAGCAAUGCCGCGUGUGUGAAGAAGGCCUUCGGGUUGUAAAGCACUUUCAGUAGAGAAGAAAUUCUCAAGGGUAAUAUCCUUGGGCGUUGACGUUACCUACAGAAGAAGCACUGGCUAACUCUGUGCCAGCAGCCGCGGUAAUACAGAGAGUGCGAGCGUUAAUCGGAAUCACUGGGCGUAAAGCGCGCGUAGGUGGAUAUUUAAGUCGGAUGUGAAAGCCCUAGGCUUAACCUGGGAAUUGCACCCGAUACUGGAUAUCUCGAGUAUGGUAGAGGGAAGUGGAAUUUCCGGUGUAGCGGUGAAAUGCGUAGAUAUCGGAAAGAACACCAGUGGCGAAGGCGGCUUCCUGGAUCAAUACUGACACUGAGGCGCGAAAGCGUGGGGAGCAAACAGGAUUAGAGACCCUGGUAGUCCACGCCGUCAACGAUGAGAACUAACUGUUGGGGAGUUUACUUUCUAGUAGCGAAGCUAACGCGUUAAGUUCUCCGCCUGGGGAGUACGGCCGCAAGGUUAAAACUCAAAGAAAUUGACGGGGGCCCGCACAAGCGGUGGAGCAUGUGGUUUAAUUCGAUGCAACGCGAAAAACCUUACCUACCCUUGACAUCCUCGGAACUUGUCAGAAAUGACUUGGUGCCUUCGGGAACCGAGUGACAGGUGCUGCAUGGCUGUCGUCAGCUCGUGUCGUGAGAUGUUGGGUUAAGUCCCGUAACGAGCGCAACCCUCGUCCUUAGUUGCCAGCGGUUCGGCCGGGAACUCUAAGGAGACUGCCGGUGAUAAACCGGAGGAAGGUGGGGAUGAUGUCAAGUCAUCAUGGCCCUUACGGGUAGGGCUACACACGUGCUACAAUGGGCAGUACAAAGGGUUGCCAAACCGUGAGGUGGAGCUAAUCCCAGAAAACUGCUCGUAGUCCGGAUUGAAGUCUGCAACUCGACUUCAUGAAGUUGGAAUCGCUAGUAAUCGCGAAUCAGAAUGUCGCGGUGAAUACGUUCUCGGGCCUUGUACACACCGCCCGUCACACCAUGGGAGUG
rnacentral:rRNA from 1 species